UUCCUGUCAGGUGAGCUGUGACCCCCCCCCCUUCCUUGUCUGUCUGCGCACCUGCAUGUACCGUGGGCAGCCGCGGCCUUUCAGAGAGGUGCUGUGCCCAGAGACUUUGCUGCACUAGGAGUAACCCAUGGCUUCUGGCCCUCCAUCACCCUCAGUAGGCCACAGGCUCAGGCUGCUGGAGUUGCUACUUGGGCUUCCUCUAUUUAUCUUGCUGGUUUCUGGGCUGGGACCAGUACUGGGUCAGAAGGUGUACACCAACACAUGGGCUGUCCACAUACCUGGAGGUUUGGAGGAAGCUGAUCGGAUUGCCAGCAAACACGGAUUCAUCAACUACGGACAUGUGUUGGAAUUAGACAGGAGAGCUUGAGGGGAGGAUCAAAGACUGCAGCUGGCCAGGUUUUACAGCUCUGAUGAUUUUUGUUUUUUGUUUUGCCUUCGUUCCUACUCCUCAAACUACGGCAUCCAUACACCCUGUCUCCGAAACAUGUCAGAGCUGUUCCUCUGGUUGUGACACAUGGAGCAGUUUGUCACAAAGGUGUCAUGAAGGUUUUUUGUGAACACAGUAAUUAAGAAGACAAUUUAGAACCGAGCUGCGUUGCACCUCACGUUGCACCUGUCGAGUGGAUCAAUAUUUUUUUUUUUAUGUGAUUUUUGCUUAGUGAUGACAUAAUACUGAUUUUCUCAAAUGUAAAAUAACUGCUUAAAAUUGUUUAAACCACAUAAUUAUUUCUGCUGCUGCGGUGUAAUGUGUGUGUAUCUGCUUGUCAAAAUUAGGGCUGCAGCUAGUUUUUGUUAUCUGUAUGUCCUCGAUUCAUUGUUAGUUUUAUGAAAUGUCAGAAAAUGGUGAUAUAUGCCUGUCACAUUUCUGAAUUAAUUUGUUUAAAUACAUGCUAAGUUAAUUAAUUAAAGUCAUUACUUUAACAAAUUAUUCUUUUAUAUUUUAAGGGGAGUUUGAUGGGAAGCGCCCCUUUUUGUUGGUUUCAAAUGUUACUUUGUUUACUAAAUAAAGAUAACUUGUUGAGUCUGA